rnacentral:lncRNA from 1 species
GGUACUAUUGAUCCCAUCAUCCGAAUCCGACAUGAGAUUAGCGGGUUCGGGUCUUAGUGAGAUCUAAAAUUAUUGUCUUCGAGGUUGUAGUUAAAUGUUCGAAAUGGUUACGUAUUUCCUGCGAUCAUAUAAUAUCAAAUCUGAAAAAUACGAGGUAAUGCUAGGCUAAGUCAAUUCACAUGAAACUGACUUAGCGGAGCUGAAUCGAUUGCCCUAUUUUUCAAAUAACUAUAAGUUAUCGGUCAUUUGAUGGUGAGAUGUCAAUCGUAUGACGAUGAGUUAUCGAUCACAUGAUAAUGAGAUGUUAAUCGCAUGAUGAUGAAUUAUCGAUCACA